rnacentral:rRNA from 1 species
UUAAAGGUGAUACCUGCCCAGUGAUUAACAUAAUUUAAUAUUUAUUAAAUGGAUGCGGUAACUCUGACCGUAAUAAAGUAGCAUAAUUAAUUACCACUUAAUUGGUGGAGAGUAUGAAUGGUGACACGAACUUCUCAUUGUCUUGAUUAAAAUUUUUAAAAUUGAAUUAAUAGUGAAGAUGCUGUUUAAAAUCGUAAGACGAAAAGACCCUAUAGAGCUUUACUAUAAUUUUUGGUAGUUUAGUUGGGGCGACUAUCUUUUAAAAAUAACAAAGAUAAGUAAAAUUAAUAAUAAUUUAUUGUAUAAUUUAUUUAUUUAACAAUUAUUAAAGUAGGCUAUAAUGACCCGUUAGUUUAUAUAAAAAUAAUAACGAUUAAUUAAUAAAAGCUACCUUAGGGAUAACAGGAUAAUUUUGUUUUAGAGUUCUUAUCAAUUACAAAGUUUGUCACCUCUAUGUUGAAUUAAGAUAUCCUAAUAAUGCAGAAGUUAUUAAAGGUAGGUCUGUUCG